AACCUGGUUGAUCCUGCCAGUAGUGUAUGCUUUUCCUAAAGAUUAAGCCAUGCAUGUCUUCGAAUAUGAGGUAGCAAUUCUCUCUGAAUCUGCGAACGGCUCCGCAAACCAGUUGUAAGACACAGCAGUUCCGGGCCUAUCCCCUAGCUUCGCAGCCUGGGGGUAGCCCAUCUAUAUGGAUAACCCUGGUAAUUCUGAGGCUAAUACAUGACACAAACAAACUUCCGUCGCCAGGGCCCUCACGGGCCUAGGCGGUGGGAGGGCGUGCGAGUUAAGGCUUGGGUAAUCAGGACAGAACGCACGCACUGGACCGCCAUUAAGCGGGGUGGGGAUGGGCCUUCACGGGCCUGACCCUGCCCUGGCGGCUCCUGGGUAUCGCUUCUGACCUAUCAAUUAGACGGCAGCUUAUGGGACAUGCUAUGGUGGCAACGGGUACAGAGGAUAAGGGUUCGAUCCUGGAGAGUGGGCCUGAGAGAUUGCUCAUACUUCUAAGGAAGGCAGCAGGCGCGCAACGUUCCCCUUGGACAAUGUCCGAGGGCGUUAGGGGACAUAUGAAUGGCUGCCUUUACGGUGGCCAAUUCAAAUGGGUCUGUCGUAAACAGGCUCUCGAGUAACAAUUAGAGGACAAGUCUGGUGCCAGCACCCGCGGUAAUUCCAGCUCUAAUAGCAUACGUUAAAGUUGUUGCGGUUAAAACGCUCGUAGUCGGGACUAGGUCAUCAGAAGCCGGCGCCGGGAACCUGGGUCUGUGCCCUGCGAAGGGCGCGCCAGGCGACUGGCAAUGGUGGGCGGUGGCCAAGCGUGCCCAGUGGCGUGUGGCCCUUUCGGGUCGCUUACAGGGCUAAGCUCGACUCCGGUCGAGCGCGGCCUGGCUGCUGGGUACCUAUUGCCAUGAUUAAACUGGCGUGCUCAAAGCAGGUCGCAAGGCCUCUGCACAGCACAGCAUGGCAUAAGGAUAGCUGGCUCGUACCUCCAAGCGGGGCGCGGCCGGUGAAUACGCUGAAAGGGGUGUUCGAGGGUGACCGAAUUGCCGGGCGAGUGGUGAAAUACGUUGACCCUGGCAAGUCGACCAAAGGCGAAAGCAGUCAUCAAGGGCACGCCCGUUGAUCAAGAGCGAAAGUUAAGGGUUCGAAGACGAUCAGAUACCGUCGUAGUCUUAACUAUAAAUGAUACUGGCCUGGGAUAGGGCAAUGUCCAUCUCGACUCCCCCCGGAUCUUAGGAAACUAAAGCCUUUGAGUUCUGGGGGGAGUAUGGUCGCAAGGCUGAAACUUAAAGGAAUUGACGGAAGGGCACACAAAGAGUGGAACCUGCGGCUUAAUUUGACUCAACACGGGAAAACUCACCAGGUCAAGAUACACGCAUGAAAGCCAAGCUGAUAGCCUUUGCUCAAUGAUGUAAGUGGUGGUGCAUGGUCGUUCUUAGUUCGUGGAGUGGUUUGUCUGGUCUAUUCCGAUAACGAGCGAGACCCCAACGUUCUAACUAGGGGCGGCAGCCCGGCUUGGUGCCCCCUUCACGGGGGGUGCCUCGCUAGCAGCCGCCUUGCGUAGCAAUCUUCUUAGACGAAUCUGGGCCGACAAGGUCUUUGAGAUGGGUUAAUAACAGGUCAGUCAUGCCCUUACAUGUUCUGGGCCGCACGCGCGUUACAAUGGUAGGCAAAGCAAGUGUUCAUUAUCGAGUCUUCCCACGGUCUACAGGGCGUGGCAAACCCUAAGGCCUCCCUCGACUGGGCUAGACUAUUGCAAUUAUUGAUCUUUAACGAGGAAUUUUUAGUAGUCGUGGGUCAUUACCCCGCGGCGAAUGCGUCCCUGCCCUUUGUACACACCGCCCGUCGCUGCUACCGAUUGGGUUUUGCGGUUACGCGUUCGGAGACUGGGGCAACUGCCGCCUUUCAAGGCGGUGGAAACCUGGUCAAAGUUCGA
rnacentral:rRNA from 1 species